rnacentral:rRNA from 1 species
GUCAAGGGCGUCCUGUGGGCUUAGUAGGCGUGUUUUGUGGGCGCUUGAUGGCAUGCAUGGCUCAUCCGUACUACGUCGUUGGGCGUCUACAAAAACAUGCUAGUGACGUUUGCGGGGCGGCUGAGGCGAAGGCAGGCGAACGUCAAGGGCGUCCUGUGGGCUUAGUAGGCAUGCUGCGUGGGCACUUGACGGCAUGCGUGGCUUGUCCAUGCUACGCUGCUGGGCGUUUACAAAAACAUGCUCGCGACGUCUACAGGGCGUUUGUGAUGGUGGCAGGCAAACGUCAUGGGCGUCCUAUGGGCUUAGUAGGCGUACUGCGUUGGCGCUUGACGACAUGCAUGGCUUGUCCAUGCUACGCCGCUGGGCGUUUACAAAAACAUGUCAGCGACGUCUGCAGGGCAUUUGAGGCGGUGGCAGGCGGACGUCAUGGGCGUCCUUUGGGCUUAGUAGGCGUGCUACAUGGGCGCUUGACGACAUGCGUGGCUUGUCCGUGCUAUGAUGUUGGGCGUCAACAAAAACAUGCCAGCGACGUCUGCGGGGCAACUGAGGCGAAAGAAGGCGGACGUCAAGGGUGUCCUGUGGGCUUAGUAGGCGUGUUGUGUGGGCGCUUGACGGCAUGGAUGGCUCGUUUGUGCUUCGCCGUUGGGCGCUUACAAAAACACGCCACCGACGCCUGCGGGGAGACCGUGCUCCGCCGAGGGAACUUCUCAAGAUCGGUUUAUACUAGUGUUUGGUGUGGAAACUGCAGUGCUUUCGAACAAGUGGCGAGUUCUAGAGCUCCUGUUACAGCUAACUCUAGGCGUCGCACGCACGGCGCACGUAAGGCCAUGUACGGCCACAGAGCUGACUCUAGAGACCCCGACGAGAGCCUCAGGAAGAGUUAUCUUUUAUGUUUAACAUCCUGCCCAUCUUGGAAUCGGCUUAGCCAAAGGUAGGGUCCAGCUGCUGGAAGAGCACCGCACGUCGCGUGGUGUACGGUGCGCUCUCGGCGGCCCUUGAAAAUCUGGAGACCGAAUGUCGUCCAUGCUGGGUCGUACUCGUAACCGCAUCAGGUCUCCAAGGUGAACAACCUCUAGUCGAUGAAACAAUGUAGGAAAGGGAAGUGUGCAAAGUGGAUCCAUAACUUCGGGAAAAGGAUUUGCUCUGAGGGAUGGACACGUGGAUCCCAGUCCCAAACCCGUUGUUGGACUGCUCGAGCUGCUCCCGCGGCGAGAGCGGGUCGCCGCGUGCCGUAUUGGGGACGGACAAGGGGAAUCCCACUGUUUAAUUAAAACAAAGCAUUGUGAUGGUCCCAAAGGAUGUUUACGCAAUGUGAUUUCUGCCCAGUGCUCUGAAUGUCAAAGUGAAGAAAUUCAACCAUGCGCAGUUAACGGCGGGAGUAACUAUCACUCUCUUAAGGUAGCUAAAUGCCUCGUCAUCAAAUUAGUGACGCGCAUGAAUGGAUUAACGAGAUUCCCUCUGUGCCUGUCUACUAGAGCGGGCUUAGCAGAAUCAGGGGGGAAAGAAGACCCUUUUGAGCUUGACUCUAGUCCGACUUUGUCAAAUGACUUGAGAGGUGUAGUAUAAGUGGGAGCCGAAAGGCGUAAGUGAAAUACCACUACUUUUAGUGUUAUUUUACUUAUUCCGUGAUUCGGAAGCUGGGCACUGCCCCUCAUUUUGGACCCAAGUCUCGCUUUGCGGGCCGAUCCAGGAAGGAGACAUUGUCAGGUGGGGAGUUUUGCUAGGGCGGCACAUCUGUUAAAAGAUAAUGCAGGUGUCCUAAGAUGAGCUCAAUGAGAAAAGAGAUCUCGUGUGUAAGAGAAAGGUAAAAGCUCGUUAUAUUCUAAUUUCCUGUACGAAUACGAACCGUGAUAAUUGGCUUGUGGCAGCCAAGCGUUCACAGUGACGUUGCUUUUUUAUCCUUCGAUGUCGGCUAUUUUGGUCAUUGUGAAGCAUAAUUCACCAAAUGUUUGAUUGUUUACCCACCAAUAGGGAACGUGAGCUGGGUUUAGACCGUCGUGAGACAGGUUAGUUUUACCUUUGAAAAUCCAGUGGAGCGAAGCUACCGUGUGCUGGAUUAUGACUGAACGCCUUUAAAUCAGAAUCCGGACUAGAAGCGACGCAUGCUCCCGCCGUCCGCUUGCCGACCCGCAGUAGGAGCCUAUGGCCCCCAAGGGCACGUGUCGUUGGCUAAGUUGCCGCAACAUAAGUGUCGCAGUGACCGCCUUGAAGUACAAUUUCCAUGGAGCAGCGGGUAGAAUCCUUUGCAGACGACUUAAAUAUGCGACAGGGUAUUGUAUGUGGCAGAGUGGCCUUACUGCCACGAUCCACUGAGAUUCAGCCCUUUGCCGCUCCUAUUCGUCCCCCCCCACACU